GACGAACGCUGGCGGCGUGCUUAACACAUGCAAGUCGAACGGAAAGGCCCUGCUCUUGUGGGGUGCUCGAGUGGCGAACGGGUGAGUAACACGUGAGUAACCUGCCCUUGUAUUUGGGAUAUCUUCAGGAAACUGGGGAUAAUACCGGAUAGGAGCUCCUGCUGCAUGGUGGGGGUUGGAAAGUUUCGGCGGUUGGGGAUGGAUGCGCGGCUUAUCAGCUUGUUGGUGGGGUAGUGGCUUACCAAGGCUUUGACGGGUAGCCGGCCUGAGAGGGUUGCCGGCGACAUGGGGACUGAGGGACGGAGCAGACUCCUACGGUAGGCAGCGGGGGGGAAUAUUGCACAAUGGGCGGAAGCCUGAGGCAGCAACGUCGCGUGCGGGAUGACGGCCUUCGGGUUGUAAACCGCUUUCGCCUGUGACGAAGCGGGAGUGACGGUAAUGGGUAAAGAAGCACCGGCUAACUACGUG
rnacentral:rRNA from 1 species